AUGGAAGAUUCUGUUUGAAGUGACUCAACUAUUUCACAAUGAAUUGUCGUUGAAUUCCCCUCGGGUUUUGGAUUAUCAAUUCUUUCUCAAUUCCUUUCCUCUUCUAAGUGCCAAAUUUUUUGUUGAUAAGAAGUUUGGGGAGGCAUGGAGCAUGACAAUUGUCUUUGAAUUUCUUUUUGGGAUAUUAAUAAGCAAUUCUUCCGCAUUUUCUUUCCUCUGCCCAACCAUCAAAAUUUAUGUUGAUAAGAAGUUUGGGAAGGCAUGGAGCAUGACACAUGGCAUUCAUCAGAUUUCUUUCAGCAAUGAGUUUGCGAGGCUGCUGUGCAUUUUAAGUUUUGCCUUCUACACCUUACACAAACAUUUUUGUAUUAUUUUGUGGGUGGCAU
rnacentral:lncRNA from 1 species